rnacentral:rRNA from 1 species
AGAACGAACGCUGGCGGCAGGCCUCAAACAUGCAAGUCUAGGGGGGCGUAGCAAUACGUCACCGGCGGACGGGUGCGUAACACGUGGGAAUGUACUUACUGGUUCGGAACAACUCAGGGAAACUUGAGCUAAUACCGAAUGUGCCCGAAAGGGGAAAGAUUUAUCGCCAGUAAAUCAGCCCGCGUCCGAUUAGCUAGUUGGCGGGGUAAAGGCCCACCAAGGCGACGAUCGGUAGCUGUUCUGAGAGGAAGAUCAGCCACACUGGGACUGAGACACGGCCCAGACUCCUACGGGAGGCAGCAGUUGGGAAUCUUGGACAAUGGGGGAAACCCUGAUCCAGCCAUGCCGCGUGAGUGAUGAAGGCCUUCGGGUUGUAAAACUCUUUCGACGGGGACGAUAAUGACGGUACCCGUAGAAGAAGCUCCGGCUAACUUCGUGCCAGCAGCCGC